rnacentral:rRNA from 1 species
UACGAAGGGGAGCUAGCGUUGCCCGGAAUGACUGGGCGUAAAGGGCGCGUAGGCGGCUCGCUUAGUCAGGCGUGAAAGCCCUGGGACUCAACCUGGGGACGGCGCUUUGAGACGGGUGGGCUUGAGGACGGAAGAGGCUCGACGGAAUUCCCAGUGUAGAGGUGAAAUUCGUAGAUAUUGGGAAGAACACCGGUGGCGAAGGCGGCGAGCUGGUCCGUAUCUGACGCUGAGGCGCGACAGCGGUGGGGAGCAAACAGG